AGCGAACGCUGGCGGCAGGCCUAACACAUGCAAGUCGAACGGACCCUUCGGGGUUAGUGGCGGACGGGUGAGUAACACGUGGGAACGUGCCCUUUGGUUCGGAACAACUCAGGGAAACUUGAGCUAAUACCGAAUGUGCCCUUCGGGGGAAAGAUUUAUCGCCAUUGGAGCGGCCCGCGUCUGGUUAGCUAGUUAGUGGGGUAAUGGCCUACCAAGGCGACGAUCAGUAGCUGGUCUGAGAGGAUGAUCAGCCACAUUGGGACUGAGACACGGCCCAAACUCCUACGGGAGGCAGCAGUGGGGAAUCUUGCGCAAUGGGCGAAAGCCUGACGCAGCCAUGCCGCGUGAAUGAUGAAGGUCUUAGGAUUGUAAAAUUCUUUCACCGGGGACGAUAAUGACGGUACCCGGAGAAGAAGCCCCGGCUAACUUCGUGCCAGCAGCCGCUGUAAGAC
rnacentral:rRNA from 1 species